rnacentral:tRNA from 1 species
GGGCGCUGUAGCUCAGGUGGUUAGAGCGUUACACUGAUAAUGUAGGUCCCUGGUUCGAGUCCAGGCAGGCCCA